rnacentral:rRNA from 1 species
AGUGAACGCUGGCGGUAGGCCUAACACAUGCAAGUCGAACGGCAGCACAGUAAGAGCUUGCUCUUACGGGUGGCGAGUGGCGGACGGGUGAGGAAUACAUCGGAAUCUACUUUUUCGUGGGGGAUAACGUAGGGAAACUUACGCUAAUACCGCAUACGACCUACGGGUGAAAGCAGGGGAUCUUCGGACCUUGCGCGAUUGAAUGAGCCGAUGUCGGAUUAGCUAGUUGGCGGGGUAAAGGCCCACCAAGGCGACGAUCCGUAGCUGGUCUGAGAGGAUGAUCAGCCACACUGGAACUGAGACACGGUCCAGACUCCUACGGGAGGCAGCAGUGGGGAAUAUUGGGCAAUGGGCGCAAGCCUGAUCCAGCCAUACCGCGUGGGUGAAGAAGGCCUUCGGGUUGUAAAGCCCUUUUGUUGGGAAAGAAAAGCAGCAGGUUAAUACCCCGCUGUUCUGACGGUACCCAAAGAAUAAGCACCGGCUAACUUCGUA